CUAAAUACUCCUGACUGACCGAUAGUGAACCAGUACCGUGAGGGAAAGGCGAAAAGAACCCCGGCGAGGGGAGUGAAAAAGAACCUGAAACCGUGUACGUACAAGCAGUGGGAGCACCCUUUGGGGUGUGACUGCGUACCUUUUGUAUAAUGGGUCAGCGACUUAUAUUCUGUAGCAAGGUUAACCGUAUAGGGGAGCCGGAGGGAAACCGAGUCUUAACCGGGCGUUAAGUUGCAGGGUAUAGACCCGAAACCCGGUGAUCUAGCCAUGGGCAGGUUGAAGGUUGGGUAACACUAACUGGAGGACCGAACCGACUAAUGUUGAAAAAUUAGCGGAUGACCUGUGGCUGGGGGUGAAAGGCCAAUCAAACCGGGAGAUAGCUGGUUCUCCCCGAAAGCUAUUUAGGUAGCGCCUCGUGAACUCAUCUCCGGGGGUAGAGCACUGUUUCGGCUAGGGGGCCAUCCCGGCUUACCAACCCGAUGCAAACUGCGAAUACCGGAGAAUGUUAUCACGGGAGACACACGGCGGGUGCUAACGUCCGUCGUGAAGAGGGAAACAACCCAGACCGCCAGCUAAGGUCCCAAAGUCAUGGUUAAGUGGGAAACGAUGUGGGAAGGCCCAGACAGCCAGGAUGUUGGCUUAGAAGCAGCCAUCAUUUAAAGAAAGCGUAAUAGCUCACUGGUCGAGUCGGCCUGCGCGGAAGAUGUAACGGGGCUAAACCAUGCACCGAAGCUGCGGCAGCGACGCUGAUGCGUUGUUGGGUAGGGGAGCGUUCUGUAAGCCUGCGAAGGUGGCCUGUGAGGGUUGCUGGAGGUAUCAGAAGUGCGAAUGCUGACAUAAGUAACGAUAAAGCGGGUGAAAAGCCCGCUCGCCGGAAGACCAAGGGUUCCUGUCCAACGUUAAUCGGGGCAGGGUGAGUCGACCCCUAAGGCGAGGCCGAAAGGCGUAGUCGAUGGGAAACGGGUUAAUAUUCCCGUACUUGGUGUUACUGCGAAGGGGGGACGGAGAAGGCUAUGUUGGCCGGGCGACGGUUGUCCCGGUUUAAGCGUGUAGGUGUGUGUUCCAGGUAAAUCCGGUUCACUUUAACACUGAGGCGUGAUGACGAGGCACUACGGUGCUGAAGCAACAAAUGCCCUGCUUCCAGGAAAAGCCUCUAAGCAUCAGGUAACAUCAAAUCGUACCCCAAACCGACACAGGUGGUCAGGUAGAGAAUACCAAGGCGCUUGAGAGAACUCGGGUGAAGGAACUAGGCAAAAUGGUGCCGUAACUUCGGGAGAAGGCACGCUGACACGUAGGUGAAGUGAUUUACUCAUGGAGCUGAAGUCAGUCGAAGAUACCAGCUGGCUGCAACUGUUUAUUAAAAACACAGCACUGUGCAAACACGAAAGUGGACGUAUACGGUGUGACGCCUGCCCGGUGCCGGAAGGUUAAUUGAUGGGGUCAGCGCAAGCGAAGCUCCUGAUCGAAGCCCCGGUAAACGGCGGCCGUAACUAUAACGGUCCUAAGGUAGCGAAAUUCCUUGUCGGGUAAGUUCCGACCUGCACGAAUGGCGUAAUGAUGGCCAGGCUGUCUCCACCCGAGACUCAGUGAAAUUGAACUCGCUGUGAAGAUGCAGUGUACCCGCGGCAAGACGGAAAGACCCCGUGAACCUUUACUAUAGCUUGACACUGAACAUUGAGCCUUGAUGUGUAGGAUAGGUGGGAGGCUUUGAAGUGUGG
rnacentral:rRNA from 1 species